UUUUUUUUCUUUUUGGUUCAAAUGAGAUGAAAUUUACAGCAAAAAGGUCCGAUACCCAGAAAGGUGAUGAAAUUUACAGCAAAAAGGUCCGAUACCCAGAAAGGUACAACAAGCAAAGUCCAACCAAACCCACUACCCCACAAGCCAGAGGAGGGAGAGAGCACCGGGAAACAAAAAGAGAGGCUGUUGCACGCCUCUGGUAAAGGCCAUGUCACCAUGAAGCCCCAAAAAAUCAAUCCCAAAGUUGC
rnacentral:lncRNA from 1 species